rnacentral:rRNA from 1 species
GACGAACGCUGGCGGCGUGCUUAACACAUGCAAGUCGAACGGAAAGGCCCUGCUUUUGUGGGGUGCUCGAGUGGCGAACGGGUGAGUAACACGUGAGUAACCUGCCCUUGACUUUGGGAUAACUUCAGGAAACUGGGGCUAAUACCGGAUAGGAGCUCCUGCUGCAUGGUGGGGGUUGGAAAGUUUCGGCGGUUGGGGAUGGACUCGCGGCUUAUCAGCUUGUUGGUGGGGUAGUGGCUUACCAAGGCUUUGACGGGUAGCCGGCCUGAGAGGGUGACCGGCCACAUUGGGACUGAGAUACGGCCCAGACUCCUACGGGAGGCAGCAGUGGGGAAUAUUGCACAAUGGGCGGAAGCCUGAUGCAGCAACGCCGCGUGCGGGAUGACGGCCUUCGGGUUGUAAACCGCUUUCGCCUGUGACGAAGCGUGAGUGACGGUAAUGGGUAAAGAAGCACCGGCUAACUACGUGCCAGCAGCCGCGGUGAUACGUAGGGUGCGAGCGUUGUCCGGAUUUAUUGGGCGUAAAGGGCUCGUAGGUGGUUGAUCGCGUCGGAAGUGUAAUCUUGGGGCUUAACCCUGAGCGUGCUUUCGAUACGGGUUGACUUGAGGAAGGUAGGGGAGAAUGGAAUUCCUGGUGGAGCGGUGGAAUGCGCAGAUAUCAGGAGGAACACCAGUGGCGAAGGCGGUUCUCUGGGCCUUUCCUGACGCUGAGGAGCGAAAGCGUGGGGAGCGAACAGGCUUAGAUACCCUGGUAGUCCACGCUGUAAACGGUGGGUACUAGGUGUGGGGUCCAUUCCACGGGUUCCGUGCCGUAGCUAACGCUUUAAGUACCCCGCCUGGGGAGUACGGCCGCAAGGCUAAAACUCAAAGGAAUUGACGGGGCCCCGCACAAGCGGCGGAGCAUGCGGAUUAAUUCGAUGCAACGCGUAGAACCUUACCUGGGUUUGACAUGGAUCGGGAGUGCUCAGAGAUGGGUGUGCCUCUUUUGGGGUCGGUUCACAGGUGGUGCAUGGCUGUCAUCAGCUCGUGUCGUGAGAUGUUGGGUUAAGUCCCGCAACGAGCGCAACCCUUGUUCACUGUUGCCAGCACGUUAUGGUGGGGACUCAGUGGAGACCGCCGGGGUCAACUCGGAGGAAGGUGGGGAUGACGUCAAGUCAUCAUGCCCCUUAUGUCCAGGGCUUCACGCAUGCUACAAUGGCUGGUACAGAGAGUGGCGAGCCUGUGAGGGUGAGCGAAUCUCGGAAAGCCGGUCUCAGUUCGGAUUGGGGUCUGCAACUCGACCUCAUGAAGUCGGAGUCGAUAGUAAUCGCAGAUCAGCAACGCUGCGGUGAAUACGUUCCCGGGGCU